rnacentral:rRNA from 1 species
UACGUAGGGGCCAAGCGUUGUCCGGAUUUAUUGGGCGUAAAGAGCUCGUAGGCGGUUCGGCAAGUCAGCUGUGAAAUCUCCACGCUCAACGUGGAGGGGUCAGCUGAUACUGCUGUGACUUGAGUCCGGUAGGGGAGUGUGGAAUUCCCGGUGUAGCGGUGAAAUGCGCAGAUAUCGGGAGGAACACCAGUAGCGAAGGCGGCACUCUGGGCCGGUACUGACGCUGAGGAGCGAAAGUGUGGGGAGCGAACAGG